rnacentral:lncRNA from 1 species
CUCCCAGGCUUGGUUUUCUCCAUCCUUGAGAAUAAAUUUCCCACACAUUUUCCCACAUUUUUGGAUCUCUGUGUGUGUGUGUCUCAGUGGCAGCGCCGAGGACGCGGUGUCACCGCCCCUGUGCCAAGGUGUGGGAUCUCAGGAUCUGAGUCCUGAGAUGCUGAGCCUCCGAGACCACCCUUGGGGGGCCCGGGAGUCCUGGAAUGUUGCCAGAAGUGUUUGGUGGCAGGACUUUGACCCUACACGGGAGACGACACCUUUAUGAAGAUAAGAGGACUUCACCGGGGUGAAUGGCAAAGAGAUUAGCUAAUUAGAGGGUGAGACACAGGGUUUAGGAUUUAUGUACAGGGGGGUUUAGAGGAGUAAGAUGGAGGAAUUGGGGUGUGUCCUGUCCUNGUUUGGGAUCCCUCUGUUCCUCAGGGAUUUCCCUCUGAUCCCAAGGGGGGUUUCUCUCUUUUAGGGUUUCUCCCCUGUUAAUUCUGAUCCCCCUGGAAGGCAGCUCCUCCCAGGGAAUUCAGACCCGGAUUUGGGGUCGGGAUUGGGAUUUCCCCAUGGAAAAAGGGUCUGAUCCCCCUGGAAGGAUUUCCCUAUGGAAAAAGGGUCUGAUCCCCAUGGGAUUUCCCCAUGGAAAAAGGGUCUGAUCCCCCUGUAGGGAAGCUUCUUUCAGUGGGUUCAGAUCCAGAUUUGGGAUUGGGAUUUCCCAAUGUUAAAAGGGUCUGAUCCUUCUGGAAGGAUGCUCCUUUCAGUGGGUUCAGGCCUGGAUUUGGGAUUGGGAUUUCCCCAUGGAAAAGGGGUCUGAUCCCCAUGAAAGUAAGCUCCUCCCAAGGGGUUCAGACCCGGAUUUGGGAUUGGGAUUUCCUCAUGGAAAAAGGGUCUGAUCCUUCUGGAAGAAUGCUCCUUUCAGUGGGUUCAGAUCCAGAUUUGGGAUUGGGAUUUCCCUAUGGAGAAAUGGUCUGAUCCCCAUGGGAUUUCCCCAUGUUAAAAGGGUCUGAUCCCCCUGUAGGGAAGCUCCUUUCAGGGGGUUCAGACCUGGAUUUGGGAUUGGGAUUUCCCCAUGGAAAAAGGGUCUCACCCCCAUGGGAUUUCCCCCUGGGAUUCCCCUGGAAGGAUGCUCCUUUCAGUGGGUUCAGAUCCAGAUUUGGGAUUGGGAUUUCCCCAUGGAAAAAGGGUCUGAUCCCCCUGUAAGGAUGCUCCUCCCAGGGAAUUCAGACCUGAAUUUGGGAUCGGGAUUGAGCUUUCCCUAUGGAAAAAGGGUCUGAUCCUCCUGGAAGGAUACUCGUCCCACAGGGUUCAGAUCCAGAUUUGGGAUUGGGAUUUCCCCAUGGAAAAGGGGUCUGAUCCCCCUGUAAGGAAGCUCCUCCCAGGGAAUUCAGACCCGGAUUUGGGAU